rnacentral:rRNA from 1 species
UACGUAGGGUGCAAGCGUUAAUCGGAAUUACUGGGCGUAAAGCGUGCGCAGGCGGUUUUGUAAGUCUGUCGUGAAAUCCCCGGGCUUAACCUGGGAAUGGCGAUGGAGACUGCAAGGCUAGAAUCUGGCAGAGGGAGGUAGAAUUCCACGUGUAGCAGUGAAAUGCGUAGAGAUGUGGAGGAACACCGAUGGCGAAGGCAGCCCCCUGGGUCAAGAUUGACGCUCAUGCACGAAAGCGUGGGGAGCAAACAGG